AGCAGUGUGGCUCAGUGGAAAGAGCACGGCCUUUGGAGCCAAUGGUCAUGGGUUCGAAUCCCGGCUCUUCCA
rnacentral:tRNA from 1 species